UAAAAAUCUAAAAUACGCUAUAAUCCGAACCAUGUCAGGACCGGAAGGUAGCAGCAUUAAGAAGUACCGUCUAUGUGUGAUGGUCUUUAUUU
rnacentral:SRP_RNA from 1 species